rnacentral:rRNA from 1 species
AACGAACGCUGGCGGCAUGCCUAACACAUGCAAGUCGAACGAGACCUUCGGGCCUAGUGGCGCACGGGUGCGUAACGCCUGGUAACCUGCCUUUAGGUUCGGAAUAACUCAGAGAAAUUUGAGCUAAUACCGGAUGAUGUCUUCGGACCAAAGAUUUAUCGCCUUUAGAUGGGCCCUCGUUGGAUUAGCGGGUUGGUGGGGUAAAGGCAUACCAAGGCGACGAUCCAUAGCUGGUCUGAGAGGAUGAUCAGCCACAAUGGGACUGAGACCCGGCCCAGACUCCUACGGGAGGCAGCAGUAGGGAAUAUUGGACAAUGAGCGAGAGCCUGAUCCAGCAAUGCCGCGUGAGUGAUGAAGGCCUUAGGGUUGUAAAGCUCUUUUACACGAGAUGAUAAUGACAGUAACGGGAGAAUAAGCACCGGCUAACUCCGUG